UACGGGGGGGGCAAGCGUUGUUCGGAAUUACUGGGCGUAAAGGGCGCGUAGGCGGCGCGGCAAGUCUGUGGUGAAAGCCCGAGGCUCAACUUCGGGUCGGCCAUGGAUACUGCUGCGCUCGAGCACUGUAGAGGCAGGUGGAAUUCCGGGUGUAGCGGUGGAAUGCGUAGAGAUCCGGAAGAACACCGGUGGCGAAGGCGGCCUGCUGGGCAGUAGCUGACGCUGAGGCGCGACAGCGUGGGGAGCAAACAGG
rnacentral:rRNA from 1 species